CAAACCAGAAAAAUAUAGAGAUUUGGGAAGACCUGGAGAUGGAUUGGAAGUGAUCAUCCCCACACUUUCUGAAAUCAAACAGGAGCAAAAGACAGGAAGGCACUUAGCCUGAAGAGAUUUCACUAACAUGAAAAGCUUCAUUUUUUUAUUUUGAAUCAAGGUAGGCACUAAGAACUUCAGGUUUGCCAAUAUUUACACCCUAACAAAUGCUCUCUGAGAGUUUCACUACAGGUGAAAAAGUUAAGAAACUCAAAUAAAGGUGUAAGCUCUUACAGAAAUUAAAGCAUGUUAAACCCCACCGGGUAGCUCUUAUUCAGGUGCAAAGUGGCCUCAGCUUGCUGUACAAAGUAAUCCCUUUGCACACCAGGCUUCACAGACCCUGCAGUGCUGGUUCCAGUGCCCAUGGGUCAUAGUCCCAGAAUUUAAUGCCAUUGCAAUUGAGGAACAUGCUGCUCCACUACAGCGAAAUGGCCAUGACAGAGUAGAGCUGGGUCAAUGGUUAAUAAUGCUGCAGUGUUCAGACCUUAGAGCAUGUUUUAACAGGGUUUGUAUAUUAGCUUUUACCUACCCAUUGCUCUGAUACAAAGACUCACCACAUUUCUUCAUUAACUUUGGAGAAGAAUGGAAAUUUCAGGUGUAGCAGCCCCCAAAGUCCAAAGUACUAGGCAAAGAGGGUUACCAAUAAAGCUAGAAAUUCGGGCUUCAUUUGUUUGUUUUCAAAGUUCAGGCUUUUACCUUAUACAUCAUUUAUGUUGGAAAAAAUCAUGAAGGAUUAUGCAGCGAAAAGUCCUACUAGAGAUGGAAAGUACUUUUCUUCCCUGCCUUUCUAUCACAUCCACCACAUCUGGGUCAGAGACUUGGCCUGCUGGCUAUGACGAUGCCGAAGGUCAAGCAAGAAGUACAGGGAAUAGCAAUGAGUUAGAAAGCCAGAUUCCUCAGAAACAUACACAAAACGAAUGGAAGAUCUCCAGUGACCAAGAGCAAUGCAAAUGAUGAUUCCCAUAUGGGUGAAGUGAUUCUCUAAAGCGAGAUGGGGAAAAGACAUCCAUGCAAUGUGUGACAAAGUUUUAUUUCACCUUCUUCUGCAAGUCUUGUUUCAAAACCAGAAACAAUUCUAAUAACUAUUCAGCUUUGCCGAUGUCCUUACAUGGCAUCCCUGAAAGAACGCAGUCAUUUUUUGAGAUGUUUUGUAUUAUUAGAGAUUUUUUCUCCCAGCAAAAUCCAUCUUCUGUAGGAAAACAGAAAGCUUUUUUUUCUCUGUGCAGCUAUUUUUCUGAGCACCAUGACUACAUACUCUCCACUGGGCAGGAGAAGCUCUUGCCCCAGCACUCAGCUGCUGUCAAGGAGGGUAGCAGCAGCAGCAGCUGCAUGCUGGGCAGCAGGCACAUGAGCGCCGGGCACACAGAAGGCAGUGUGAAGACAGUAUCCUGUCCUCAUGCAGUGAAAGAAGUGGUUCUCAUGCAUUUCAGUGGUGAAUUCUGCCACUUUCUUGCCAAACAGCUUGAAAACAAUUCUGUUGGCAUCAGUACUUCAGUGGUUACUGUCUGUGAUCAAAACAGGGGAUCCUGGAACUCACAGGGCUUUGACAUCUGCACUGACAGACACCCAUGCCCCUCCUCCUUCCCUCUUAAAAAUGUCUACACACAGAGCCUUGGUAUUCUUUACAUAAAAUGUAACGUGGUCAAUAAACCUGAAGUGUCACACAGAAAACCCGUGGAGGAAACAAGCUGCAGGUAUGAAACUCAGCCGCUUUCAAUCUGGUUUUAGUAUUUGCAUGUCUUUCAAAAGGACCUAUGGGAAUUUCUCUCCAUAGCUACUAGCUUUACUUUGGAGUAUUUAAAAAAUCCCAGUGAGCUCUCACCUGCUUGUGGAGUUACAGUAAAAAGCCAAAGCUGCUAAUCCAAGCUACAACUUGCAAAAGUAACUCUGUAAAUGUGCGUGUUGGCUGUAACUUUGAAACAGCUCUGAGAGUGAACUGAACUGUUGGUCUUGGUUAGCCUCUCUGGUCUCCAGGAUUCCCAGGCUGUGGAAUCUGAUUAAAAAAUCAGGAUGACGUGGAGUGGAGCAUUUUUGCACACAUUUGCCAUUUGCUGCUGACAACAUUUCAAUAUUUUGGUUGAGCACUGUCCAGUUCAGGAUCUAUCAGGGGUGGCUGUUUAAGGUUGUAUCCAGUUUUCCUGAAAGACAACCUUACAAGAUUGCAGCCCCAACUUCAUCAGAUGCUUCUUGUAGACAGGCAGUCUAUGCUUAGGCAGCUGGAGGAGCCCUGGUUGCAAGUGGGAAAGCAGCAAAGGCAGGAGGCAGAAGUUGGCAUAGCUGAGCUGGGCUGCCUGGCAUCUGCUGUGGCAAAAGAUGUGCCAGUCUGCCACUUCCCCUUGUCCAUGGGGUGUGCAUUUCCAGAGCAAAGGCUGGGGCAGCAGAGCCACACCACACAGACAGCAUGAAGAGAAAAAAAGAAGUUUCUUCAUAGUAAUCAUUGUUAAAAAUACCUAUUGACAACAUUUAUCAUCACAGACAUUAUUCUUUGAGCCAUGUUGCAUGCUUGGGCAGAGGUGAAUUGGGCAGGAUUAAAAGCUCAAUCAUUUAGUGAGCCCAGUACUUGAUUUUAUGUUUUGUUGCCAUGUGUUCCAGCCCAGUGGCUGCGGAGUCAAGAGUGCCUGCAGUGCUGCUCUUCUUUUGCUUGCGGCAAAGCCAGGCAAAGUGUCUGGCACUGGGAUGGAUCAGCAGUGGCCAAGCCGGUAAAGGAACAUCACUAAGGGCCAGACUAUCCACCUGAACGCAUUGCCAGAGCCUCUCCUGUGGUGGUAUCGUGCUUCUGAGAGCAGAGACAGGAGAGACAGCAGAAACUGCAGCCACCGGAGAGAGCCGGAGUGUGCAGCCGGGCAGCCUGGUAACAGACCAGCACAGCCAGGAUGCAAAGUUGACCCUUUACGUGUUUAUUCUCUGCCCCAACAGCAAGGCUACGUCACCUGCCACGAGUAUCAGAAUAUUUACUAUCAGCUGCAGGGAGGAGAAUUAUCACCAGCACUACCGAAUCCCAUCAGCAGAUACAAUGCAGCAAGCACAGAAAUUACUGACAACCGCUCCGCUGACUCGGCAGUGAACCUCACUGUGCAAUCUCAGCGCACGCACGUCCUGCCGGAGCCGCCGGAUUCCUCAGCACACCUUCCAGACCUCUGUUUGCAUUAACGAUAUAAAUGCGCACUGUGAGCUCUCGUGAAUUACAGAGGAAUUUAUCUUGUGUGGAAAUUACGUUUAUUUUUUUUUUCUGUUUAAGUGAGUCAGUCAGAGUGGCUGAAUACGGCAUUCAAAAUUAUGAUGGGUAGGAGCAUUUUUAAGUGACUGAUUUCGCAGCACAAUGUGCCCUAUAUUUAUUAGCCUUUUACUCUAGGGCUAUUUUAAUUGUUAUCUGUUCAUGCAUGCUACACUAUAUAAUGAAAUGCUCCCAUUUCACUCAUAGAGUGGAGAGUUUUUUAUGUGUAUCUCUAUUAAUGACCCUUAAUUAAGUUGAUUUUAGUAAUUUAAAUAUGAUUUUCCUCUGGUCAAGAAGUAUUUUUAAUGGGAGAUAUUGGAAAUGAACUUUCAUAUAAGCCCUUUUCUAAUGCUUCUUAUUUAACAGUUACAGCAAUUUAUCAAGCUAUGUUUUCAAUGAAUGAGGUAUGAGGUAGCCAUGCAAAAAACCUGUUAAUUUACAUGAUUCAUCAAAUGUGAUUGUUAGCAACCUUUUUUUUUGGUAUUUACUUAUAAAAGACUUCAAUUUUCCAAGCAAUUAGCAAAAGCAUUACCAAUGGAUAAACUUCGUGACAGUUCUAAGCUACAAUAAAUACAAGGAUACAUCUUAAGAGACAAAAAAUAAAUUAAUGUAUUUUAAAAUAAUUUAGUCAUAGUAUCAACGGAAGCACAGUACCAAAAUUAUUUAGGAUUACAAGAAUUAACAUCCAAACCAUUUAGGAAAUAAAAUCAACUUGCUCUUGAUAAAGUUAAUAACAUCAAAAGCAUUGUUCUGACAACUCUUUUCAAAAUAUGUGAUUUAAUCUUUUUUUAAAACUGCAAAAAAGAAUGACUGUGGAGACAGCAUAUACCCAUUUGGGGGUAAAACACUAGAGGUCUUGUCAAGUAAUUUUAAUAUUCUACCAUAAUUUAUCUUCUUGUGCAAAUAUUCAUUUUGCUGAAACCUCAGAGGAAUAAAAGUUUAAAGUGAGGUAUAAAAAUUAUUAUGGGUAACAAUAUGUGGAAUCCAGCCAAGACAACUAGGUAAGAAUAUAUGGCUUUUUACUGCUAAUUACCAAAUGUUCCCAUUUUUCAAUCUGAAAUAAUGGCUGUGGUUUGAAAGACCUUUACUUGUAAUCGUAAUUCUAACUGUCUAAUAAAACACUGACUUUGUAA